GUAGAAUUGUCGUGUGUCGAUGAUUUCGUUUGAGGUAUGUUAACUCUGCCGAUGAAACUGUCGCCGUUAGGCAAUCCUCUCUUCACCCAAAUUCGGCUUUUUAGAACCAAGCCAAUAGUGUGACGGCUACUCGGAU
rfam:Sulfurimonas autotrophica DSM 16294, complete genome.